AAACACGUUACAAGAAACCCCCGAAGUAUCCGCGCACUCAACAGAAGGGCGGUGGAGCGCGGCGAUGCAUUGUAUGCUGCAGAGACCACCCGGUCUCGCGCUGUGAGCAAGGCCGAGGCAAGUGCUACAAGUGUGGGCAACCGGGGCACUUCAUUCGGGACUGCCCGGGAGGAGGAGCCUCACCUGCCCCAUCGAUUGCAUCGGCGCCGGCGAU
rnacentral:lncRNA from 1 species